GUCUAAUAGAGGUAUAGACGACGGAUUUCCAAGCCACGUCGUCUAUAGAAGGGCGGUCAUAGACGACACACCCGAAAAUGUCGUCUAUUGUAUAAUAGAAGACAUAAUUUAUCACGUCGUCUAUUAGCGCCUAUUCAUUCCCAACACGUCUGAUAAUUAGAGAGUUGUUAACAUAAGGUAUUAAACUAGAAAUAAAGAAAUGAAAGAGAAAUAGAAGAAAAGAAGAAGAGGCAGGCAGUGGCAGCGGCCGCAAACCGACGCGGCCGCCGGCGCUGCCCGCACCACGGCGGUCCGCGGUGGCUGCCAAGUGCCUAACAGAGAUAGAGAGAUAGAGAGAUCGUGAGAGGAGUAGAGAAAAGGAAAUAGAGGGAGAGGUAGAAAUCCGAUGCACAGGUCCCGCCAUCGCUGUCCCCGGCCUCUGAAAUCCGAUUCAGCCUUUAGGGCUCAAAUCUUCAAACUAAAAUUAGGCUCAAACUGUUUUUUCCUGCCGCCGCCGGAAUCCCGUGCCUCGCCUCGCCGCCGAUUCGACAUUUUAGAGGUUUCUUCCCAUCCUCCUCCAAUUUCCGUCGAAGGCCAAAUUUCAAAGUGCUGAACUGAUUUUGCCCUAGCCGCUCAUAGACCCCCCUUCGCA